rnacentral:rRNA from 1 species
AACGAACGCUGGCGGCAUGCCUAACACAUGCAAGUCGAACGAAGCCUUCGGGCUUAGUGGCGCCCGGGUGCGUAAGGCGUGGGAAUCUGCCCCUUGCUUCGGACUAACUGUUAGAAAUGACUGCUAAUACCGGAUGAAGUCUUCGGACCAAAGAUUUAUCGGCAAGGGAUGAGCCGGAGUAGGAUUAGGUCGUUGGUAGGGUAAAGGCCUACCAAGCCGUGGAUCCUUAGCUGGUCUGAGAGAAUGAUCAGCGACACUGAGACUGAGACACGGCCCGGACUCCUACGGGAGGCAGCAGUGGGGAAUAGUGGAAAAUGGAGGGAAGUCUGAAGCAGCAAUGCCGCGUGAGUGAUGAAGGCCUGAGGGUUGUAAAGCUCUUGUAACAGGGAUGAUAAUGACAGUACCUGGAGAGUAAGCCCCGGCUAACUCCGUG